rnacentral:rRNA from 1 species
CCUACGGGAUGCUGCAGUGAGGAAUAUUGGUCAAUGGACGAGAGUCUGAACCAGCCAAGUAGCGUGAAGGAUGACUGCCCUAUGGGUUGUAAACUUCUUUUAUAUGGGAAUAAAAUGUUCCACGUGUGGGCUUUUGUAUGUACCAUAUGAAUAAGGAUCGGCUAACUCCGUGCCAGCAGCCGCGGUAAUACGGAGGAUCCGAGCGUUAUCCGGAUUUAUUGGGUUUAAAGGGAGCGUAGAUGGGUUGUUAAGUCAGUUGUGAAAGUUUGCGGCUCAACCGUAAAAUUGCAAUUGAUACUGGCAGUCUUGAGUACAGUUGAGGUAAGCGGAAUUCGUGGUGUAGCGGUGAAAUGCUUAGAUAUCACGAAGAACCCCGAUUGCGAAGGCAGCUUACUAAACUGUGACUGACAUUGAUGCUCGAAAGUGUGGGUAUCAAACAGGAUUAGAUACCCGGGUAGUC